ensembl:snRNA Gm26126 U1 spliceosomal RNA
AUCCUUACCUGGGAGAGGAGACACACUGAGCACAAAGGUAGUUUCACAACAUACAGCUUAUCCUUUGCAGUUUGGCUGGGCCAAUACCAUCAGCAUCCCAUAUGUGGGAAACUCAGCCUCAAAGUUUGUAGCAGUGAGGGACUGAUAGUGCUUAUGCUUCCUCC